rnacentral:rRNA from 1 species
UACGAAGGGGGCUAGCGUUGUUCGGAAUUACUGGGCGUAAAGCGCACGUAGGCGGACAUUUAAGUCAGGGGUGAAAUCCCAGAGCUCAACUCUGGAACUGCCUUUGAUACUGGGUGUCUUGAGUAUGGAAGAGGUGAGUGGAAUUCCGAGUGUAGAGGUGAAAUUCGCAGAUAUUCGGAGGAACACCAGUGGCGAAGGCGGCUCACUGGUCCAUUACUGACGCUGAGGUGCGAAAGCGUGGGGAGCAAACAGG